CUCUCUCUCUCCCACUUGUCUUCUCUUUUGCAAUUUCUCUCUUCUUGUUCUCACUGUCCUCCAUGGCUGAUCCAUUGAAGGCCCUAUAUCCUUACCACCAAUUCAAAUAACCUCCUCAAUAGCUUGAAUCCAACAAGCAUGAUCUUCCAUGAGUUUUGGCUGCCCCAAACAAUGAUUUUAAGGUUUCGAGAUUCUUGGUAAAGGGGCAAAACCGAUAAAAAGCUGCAGUUGCAUUUGCCACUCUUCUCACCUGUUGAAGAAUCAGUGGUCACAUGAGCAUCUCCUUCAGACUUAAAUUUUGAUCUUUCUGCAGCUUGGGCCUUCUCCCAUAAAGCAAACGUUUAUAUUAAAAAUGGAACAUAUAAAACAAGUUCCAAAGUGUAGUUAAUAUCAGAAUGUCAUUACUUACCUGGCAAAAGGCAGUAAUUAGUUCUGGUCUCAAGAUACAGAAUCUGGAUCCAGGUCCAGUAUAGUUUGCAUCGUGAGGAGUUACUCUCAUUAAAUCCAGAAGAUAAUGCCUAGAAAAAGUAGAAAGGAGAAGAAAAAAAAAAAAACAUAAACAAGUGCACAUGCUUUAUUUAUAAAUAAGCAUGUUAUUUAACAGUUGUGGCAC